CGAGCCCGGUCGCCUUACUUGGCGGACGUGAGGCCUGUAGGAAAGAGCAAAGCCUGAGCUAGAUUACCCCUCCCAUCGAGUGUGCUAAGAUGGCGCUUAUCUCCUGCUUCCUGCUUGGUAAACAACCCGCCCUGUAAGAUCUCCUGCUUCCUGCUUGGUAAACAACCCGCCCUGUAAGAUCUCCUGCUUCCUGCUUGGUAAACAACUCGCCCUGUAAGAUCUCCUGCUUCCUGCUUGGUAAACAACCCGCCCUGUAAGAUCUCCUGCUUCCUGCUUGGUAAACAACCCGCCCUGUAAGAUCUCCUGCUUCACAACCCGCCCUGUAAGAUAGUCUGCCUAGCAACAACUGAUGUUAGCCAAUCAGCCCGCAUCGCGCGCUUUGAACUGAUUGGCCACUGUAACCCUAUAAAAGUGAGUGCCUCUCCCGCCACGAAAAAAGAAGCAAAAGAAGCAGAAGAAGCACGCAAGGAGCCGCGGAGAGCGGACCGGUAGAGGCUUCGGGACAGACUGUAGGGAGAAGCACGCAAGGAGCCGCGGAGAGCGGACCGGUAGAGGCUUCGGGACAGACUGUAGGGAGAAGCACGCAAGGAGCCGCGGGGAGCGGACCAACAGAGGCUUCGGCCGGGAGGAUUCCCGGGGCAGGCUGUACGGAGAAGGAAAAUAAAAGAAAAGGUUGUCCACUGCCAGACUUUGUUGUGUGUCCUUCCUGCCGGCCGGGAGUGACACCGACAUCUGGUGGCCCGUACGGGGAGCUGAUCACCCCCGAGACGUGGCAGUGGACAACGCUCCAACGCAGAGCUGCAAGACAGGAACCGGGACGAGAACCACUGUGGGUACCGGAGAGACUGACACGGGCAACAAAGCCCUCGACUGAAGAUCAGACCUGCCCUACCGGAGAUCCAUCACAGACCAACCAACAAGAUGAAUAGAAAUAGUGGUAGCCCAAAAUGGACAAAAAGAUCCUCAGGCAUAUGCAUGGCUCGCUCGCCUAGCCUACGACCGAGUCUAGGGGCGGUGAGCUUCCCACACUCCUCCUCUAAAAAAUUAUGACAUAGCUGAGUAGGAGAGUCAAUGACGGGUAAGAGCGUACUCCCCCGGUGCGACUCAACCUAAGCCAGGCCCUACCCCAUCCUGCACGUAAGCCGCUGGACUGUUAGAUGCUGCCCAGGUCUAAAUUUCUCUCCGAGGGGAUUUCUUUACGGAGAGGAAAUGAGUGCAAGCUUGUGUGCAUCCAGGUUCCGUCCAGUUUGUGCCUGGCCCUAGAAAAAGGACGAGGGCCUCAAGGCCUUGGCAGACCAUGGGACGGCCGACCAGGGUCUAAGCCAAGGACCUACGGUGGGCCUACGCAUAGGGCAUAAGCCUCUGCACCCAGUCCAGGAAGGGCUACGAUGCGCACAUUCAUAAAAAAUAAAAAAGGGGGAGAUGUUGGGAGCCGCGGCCGAGCCCGGUCGCCUUACUUGGCGGACGUGAGGCCUGUAGGAAAGAGCAAAGCCUGAGCUAGAUUACCCCUCCCAUCGAGUGUGCUAAGAUGGCGCUUAUCUCCUGCUUCCUGCUUGGUAAACAACCCGCCCUGUAAGAUCUCCUGCUUCCUGCUUGGUAAACAACCCGCCCUGUAAGAUCUCCUGCUUCACAACCCGCCCUGUAAGAUAGUCUGCCUAGCAACAACUGAUGUUAGCCAAUCAGCCCGCAUCGCGCGCUUUGAACUGAUUGGCCACUGUAACCCUAUAAAAGUGAGUGCCUCUCCCGCCACGAAAAAAGAAGCAAAAGAAGCAGAAGAAGCACGCAAGGAGCCACGGAGAGCGGACCGGUAGAGGCUUCGGGACAGACUGUAGGGAGAAGCACGCAAGGAGCCGCGGGGAGCGGACCAACAGAGGCUUCGGCCGGGAGGAUUCCCGGGGCAGGCUGUACGGAGAAGGAAAAUAAAAGAAAAGGUUGUCCACUGC